rnacentral:lncRNA from 1 species
AUUUUAGGAUUGAAUGGUUUUGGAUAUUCUCGGGGAGACUUUCUAAGUUGCAGCACUCAUUCAAUAUUAGCUGUUUUAAAGAUUGUAUGCCAUCAAGGAUGGACCAAAGACUUAAUGCAUUGAUUUCUGUGCACCCUGAAAGGUCUAGCUUUGUAACAGACCACAGUCCAUGAUCAUCUCUUAACUUAUUCCCAACAAUUUUAAGCUUGUUACACUCAGAUAGGCCAAGCCAAGUAAGUUUGCUAUUGCGCCAAAUCGAUGAAGACAAUUCACGUAUAGCAGUGCCGCCUAAGGUCAACUCUGUCAUUUCCUCCGAUGUCACCAAAAAUUCUGUGAGAGUUGAACAACCAUCGAGUAAGAGUUCACGAAGAGAUUUUGAAUGAAUGUUGGUUUUAAGGCUUUCAAUCUUUUUGCAACCUCGUAAAUCUAGAUAUCUAAGAUCAGGGAGACAGAAGAUGGAAGGAUGGAGCUGACACAGGCUUUCACAUUGAAAAACACUCCAUGAAGAUUUGUAUCCUUAGAUAAGUCUGGGAUCUCAAUCAGAUCUUUGGAGGAUUCAAGCCGGAGUAUGUUUAGAUUCACAAGAUUCUGUAACAAUAAAUAAACAUGACAUUGCUUAGAAACCAUUAAAUCCAUAAUUAAGCAUAAAUAGAGACUUCUUAAGAAUGUGCAUCAGACUUCCUCUCAUACCUAAAUAAAUUAACACGUACGUAUAUCCAAACACAUUUGUACCUGAACUCCAUCCCAGAGCUUUUUAAGCUUGCUAUGACCCAUGUGAAGCUCUAUGAGCAUUUCAGCACAAAAGGUUGGUGGCAAAGACUCAAGGCAGUAUCCCUCCCACAUAAGGAACCUCAAUUUAUUAGAAAGCCACUCAAGACCGUCGGGAAAGUGCACAUUGCAUGUUCUCCCAUUAGAUAUAUUAUAGAUUUUAAGAUAUCUUAAGUUUGUCAUCCUUCUAAAGGAAUCAGACUUUAAGUAAAGAUUCCCAACUUCUGUACUAUCAAAUGUUAUACCUUCCACAACUCCCGUUCCCUACCAAACAAAAAUCAGAUUAUUAAUUAGGAAAGGAUGUAAUAAAUGUUUGCUUGUUAUAUUUCAUAACCACAAACAUGUGUUUUCAUAUGGAAGUAAUUGCAUUGUCUACUUACCUUGUUUUUUUUCAAUACAUCAGAUAUUUCUUCAGCAUUCCACAAUCGACUUCGUUUUCCAGGGUUCUUAGAUUCUUGAUUAACAAUCUCUCGUCCCAUUUCUUGUAACAAAUCAUGCAUUUCUAUACCAUCAACGUCCGACUUGACAUAAACAUGCCAUAUUUUUUUUAGUUGUAUGAGAGAUUUAUCUAGAAGGACUUCUAUCCCACUUACUGCAAAGAACUCACAAGCUUCCAAAAGUUUUCUUACGAAAGAUUUACUCUCUUCUCUCAGCAAGCAUGCGUUGUCUAGAAAUAUGGCCUUUUGACAACAAUCUAAGUCAUCAUAACUCAAUUUUAAUACAUUGUAAAUUUUCGUAUUGGGAAUCUUUUGGAGCUUUUUCAAUUCAUUUUCCCAUUCAUCUUUGCCUCUUGAACUCAGAUUAGCACCUAAAACUUUUAAAGCCAGAGGAUUGCCUUUGCAAUAGGCAAUUACACUCUCUGAUAGAUCUUCAUAUCCAAUUUUAGGAUGUUUUUCCUUGAAGACAGUCAAACUGAAUAGCUGAAAAGAAUCAUGAUUAUUCAAUUCCUUAACCUCGUAUAUUUCACAUUUACUGAACUGACUAAUUAUGUGCUUAUCUCUAGUUGUAAUAAUGACCCUACUACCGGGUCCCAGCCCAUCAAUUUUUAGGAUAAAAUCUUCUAUUCUCUCUAAGGUUUCCACGCCAUCCAAUACAAUUAUAACUUUUUUAAGCGCAAUCCUUCUUUCGGAGAAAGGGACUUCUAUGUAGGGUGCAUCAGGAUGAAGAUUUUCUUCCUAUAACAAUGAAGAUAAAAGUUUAUUGUAUACAACAUUGAGUCCAUACUUGUUUGAUUCAUCCAUUACAUUGAGGAAGCAACGACCUUCGAAUUGGGAAUAAAGUUUAGCAUAUAAAGUCUUAGCAAGGGUUGUCUUUCCUAUGCCACCCAUGCCCCAUAUUCCAAGGACUUUAACAUCAUUUGACCCAAUUUUCAGCAUUGAUUCAAUUUGUUUAUAAUUUUUCUCAAUUCCAACAAGACCCUUAAUUUCAUAUGGGUAUCUAAGAUUUAGUUUCCUUAAAACAUCUUCAACAAUGUCCUUAAUGAAGUCCACUUCAAUCCUUGCACAUGAAGGAAGGAAAGGUCUUACAAGUCUAACAAAUACAAUAGAAGAAAAAUACAUCUAUAUGAUUAGUAUACAAAUUUGUAGUCAACAUGGUGGCAUUAACAUCUAUUUUUUCUACGAAGUGAAAUCCUAAAGAAAUUCCAAAAAAUCAAAAAUCAAAAAAAGGUUUUUAUGCUACCCAAACGAUAAGAUGAUGUAUUCUUUGUAUUUAGAUUUAAGAGUAUCAAUUGAGUGAUAAGUGUAUGCAGGGUACAAGAAUAUGUUGACUUUGAAGACUCCUACCCUCUUCCCAAUAGUAAAUAACUGUGCUAUAUUAGAAUACAAAACAUGCAAAUGAUAGGAAAUAGUUUAUUGAUUUUACUUUGAAUUUUGGAAACAUACAAGUGAUGAACAUAUCCAAAGCUGGAUAGUUUGUUUUAUUUACCUAUAAUUUUGAGAGUCCCAUCCAACUAAAUUAGCUGCCUCAGUGAGAGAGGCUUUCCAUUUCUCCAACUUGGCAUUAUUGUGCUUCAAAUCUUGCUUAUGUUUUGCAAAGGCUUGCUUGUAACUCCCGGUUUGCUUCCUCACAUGUGAUGGAUCAAUGUUGUAAAAAAUAGGUAUCACGAUCUGUUCCAUAUAUUGCUUGCAUUCUAGAAUCUUUUUGAGAUCAUUCAAACACCAUUUUGAGGAAGCGUAGUUUUCUGAGAAGAUGACAAUAGACACAUGUGACUCCUCAAUGGUUUUGAUGAGUGUUGGUGAGAUCUCAUCUCCUUUUUGAAGGUCAUUGUUGUCUAUGAAGGUUUCAACUUUCUUUCGACUCAAAGCAUCAUAAAGAUGGCUUGUGAAGUUUCUGCGAGUAUCCUCACCUCGAAAGCUAAGAAAAACGUCAUAUUUUUUCGGAGGCCCCACAUAAGAAGAAGAUAUAGAGGAAAAAGCACUGCUCAUUUUCUGCGCGGCGGUUAUGAUUUCCAAAUGCCUGCACUAAGCCACUAAUCACAAUGCUACAAUAAAAAAAAGUAUUGGGCUUCAUAAAUUUGAUUAUCAUUUGGAAUCAUUUUUGGCAGCAUAACAAAAAGAAUGGCAACAUUCAAAGCGAGCCUAACAAAAAUAAGGCAAAUUCUAUAUUACACCCAAUAUAUUUGAGUGUAUCGGUACAUCCACUCUUUAAAUUAAUAGUUAAAUGAGUUUUUUUUUGAAGAAAAAUAUUAUUUUUUAUCAUUUAUUAUUAUAAUAACUAAAUCUUAUUCAUAAAAAAUAUCAACAAAAUAAAAUUAUUAUUUUUUGAAUUUUUAUUGCUCAUAAUUUAUAACAUUUAUUAUUUUUUACGAUAAUAUGUAAAAAAAAAUACUAUGAUUGUCAUAAACAAUGAAAUGAUUUUUUUUUUUUUUAUGAACUGAUGUUAUAUAAAAUAUAACUAUUGACAAAGAGCUAUUUAUUACAUAAAAAAUUAUCGUUAAUUUAUAAAAUUAUGAAGAAGGAGUACCGGUACACCUCACUUUGUGAGUGUACCGUAGAAGUUUCCCAACAAAAUAAUUACAAUAAUAUAGAUGAAUGUCUUGAGACAAUUUAUUUUUGGCGAUUACUUUCUCCACCCUAUAAGGUUCUCACACGUCCUUUUUUUUUUCUUUCCAAAUUGCCCCUUAGAUUUUAGAAAAUGAAAACCAAUUCCAAAUAUAAAUUCCGAAACAUUUCGCUUUAUAAAAGCAAGAUCAGCAACUUCCACCAUUUUACAGUUUUAGUUUUACAAUUUCACUUUCUCUCUCUCUCUCUCACCGAUCCCAUAAUCCUAAAAUAUUGGUCCAAUCUUUGAGUUUUUUUUGCUCAAAAUCAUCACAUUUGAAGCUUUAUCAAACCCCAUAGUGAAGGUUAGGUCUCAUUCCAUCUGCAUACAAGCCUUUGAGUUCGAAUAUUUUUUUUGUGGCAACUGAAUAUGUUUGGAUUAUAAAAUCCAAACUGGAUUGUUGAAGUUCAGAUUUUAUAAUCUGAAGUGUACCUGUAGGCAGAUUUUUGGACAAUUUUGUGGAUUUAUAUUGAUUGCGUUUUACCUGGUUAUGCAUGUUACAAGCAUGGAUCGUGUUGGGCGCACCGUGGGUGAUGGAGAAGCAAUGCAUGUUUAUGUUUGGAGAGAGCGUUUGGAGAGGUUGCAAGCGGAGGGGAGAGUGCCCAGGCGUGGCAAGGGCAGGGAAAGGGCACGCCGUGGUGAUGCUGAUGGCGAGGGAACAUCUCAGGGGAACUAUAUUGAGCUUGAGCCACAGAGGGAGAUAAGAGAAGGUGGAGGGUGAUGUUGAGCAACAGGAGGAGGGUGAUGAAGAGCAGCAUGAGCGUGUGCAGCCAAAGCCAAAGGAGCUUGAUCACUAUCUUGGUGGCCCACACGACUUGACUGUGCUGACCAAGUACCAUGUUCACGUGGUCAGGAUGGCAGUUGAUGAAGUGGUAAGACACUGCACCUUUAAUUUAAUGAAAAUUGAAUUUUUAUGUUUAAUUAAUAAUAAUUGUAAACUUUUUGUUAAUUUUUGUCAUGUAUUAUUUCGAUUACUGUGAAACUGAUGUUAAUUUUUUGUUUUAAAUUUUAGCAGUGCGGUGACAAUUUAAAAUGUGUAAACAACAGGAAGAAGAUAGAAGCGAUACAUAAACCAAAGGUUUAAAUGUAUUUCAUCCUUGCAAUUAAGGGUCGUUUAAAAAUUGGUCCCUGUAUUCGCUAAUCCUUGCAAACUAGCCUUGCAAUAAUUAAUCAUUUAAAAUUUCGUCCUUUGACCAACUUAAUCACUGCCACGUCACUAAUUUGAUGACGUGGCAAUCACUAUCACACAUGAAAUUCCAAUUUUUCUCUUAAGAAGAGGACAAAAUAUUGAAGAAAGAAUUAGAAACUCAGGGGUAAAAUUGGAAUUUCAUGUGUGACAGUGAUUGGCACGUCAUCAAAUUAGUGAUGUGGCAGUGAUUAAGUGGGGAGAGGGACGAAAUUUUAAAUGAUUAAACAAUGCAAGGGUAAAUUGCAAGGAUUAGCGAUUACAGAGACCAAUUUUUAAACGACCCAUAAUUGCAAGGAUGAAAUACAUAUUUAAGCCUAAACCAAACAAGACUCUGAUGGCAAGACUGUGUGGUUUAAGCAUGGGCUGAAAGUCACUGGUCUUCGGUGGCUGCAGGAUAUCAGCUACAGCCAGAUUGAACACGGGCUUUGUUCUGCAAUUGUGGAGAGAUGGCACGAGGAGACAUCGAACUUUCAUCUUCCGUUUGGGGAUAUGAUAGUGGCACUGGAUGAUGUGUCAUGUUUGCUGCAUCUCGCCAUCGAGGGUAUGCUCUUGUCCUAUGAAAGUAUGUCAAGGGGUGAUGUUGUUGAGUUGUUGAUGGAAUUGUUGAGGGUUGAUGCGGGCGAGACAUGGACCGAGGUGGAAAAGAAAAAAGGUGGACAUGCACGGUUUAACUUCUUGAAGGAUAUAUACUUUCAAGGAGCAUGUUCGGGAGGCACAUGAGGUCUACCAUGCUGGUCAGUUUGUUGAGAUGCAGCAGCGGGAGUAUUUUCCAACAGAAGGUAUGGCCUAAACUAAUUUUAUCAAUUUAUUUAUUUCAAAUUCUAUGAUCAAUUUGAAAAUGACCUAUGUAAUUAGAGAAACUAGCAGUUAAAUUAAAAUUGAGGGAAAAAAGAUCAUACCAAAGUCAGAUCAAUCCAGCUUCAUGCAAUAGAGGAGAAAAAGACAGUAUGGCUUAGCUUCUGGUGGAAUCAAAUUUGGAUGAAAAUUAAUUAAGGAUAAACACACACAAACACUUCAUAAUGCCUUGGUCCUGAUGUAUAUACAUGUAAUGGGUCAAAUUUAAAAUAUAAAAUAACAAGUGUGGCUUAGCUUGCUUCCUUUUUGAUGGAGACUACUAGAUAAACUAUGGAAUUGGAUUUCAGAUUAAAAUAUAUGCAAAAUUAAGCUUGUUGUCCUUCAAUUUUGAGUCAUUUUUCAGAUUAUACCUAUUCACGUAUGUAAACACAAGUUAAUUACAAUAGGUGAGUUGCUGAGUGAAAUGUCUUAGGUGCAAUUCCAAGAACAAUUAGAUUAUACCUAUUAAGCUUGUUGUCCUUUAAUUUUGACUAUUUUUCAGAUUAUACCUUUUAGUUUUUCUUUCUUCCUUGAAUAGUUUCUUCAAAUAUUUAUAAUUACCAACAGAAGGUAGAGCCUUGGACUUAUACAAUAUAUAAGUGGCUUAGAUGUAUUCUUGUCUUUCGUUGGUCUAUGAAAUCGUAAAAACAAACACUUUCGUAUAUUUAAUUAAAUUUAAAGGUAAAGUAAAACAUUAAAUUAAUUUUAAAAUCCCUCCCCUCGUGAACCACAUCAAUUAAUGUUUUUAUUUUUUGUGGAAUUUCUAAAUGUUUUAAUUGAUUAGUUUUUUUUUUAAAGAAUGUUUUGAUUGAUUAGUUGUGUAUGUACAAAGCUGUUUUAGACCGUCGACUCGUUAAUCUUAAACCCUUAACAAAAACUGAUUUAGACCGUCGACUCGCUAAUCAAACCAAGUAAUUAAAUUAAAAAAUUACUUUCUGUUGGAGAAAAGAUACUAUUUGGAAUAUGCAUUGGAAAUAAUGAGUAGCAGAGAGAUUACAAACACUAUAUUAUUUUGUGGGAAAACCAAGAUCUUUGAUCUGUAUCAUUUAAAAAGGAAAGACCAUUAACAGAACCAUUAUUAUUCUUCUUAUCUUUAUUUCUUAUGACUCAAAAUCAUGAAACUCAAGUAGCUACUGCAAUAGGGAGAAAAAGAGGAAGAAGACCGACAAUUCAUUUAAUGACGAAGCAGAAGAUGUUAGAAGAAAGCAGCAUUGCUAUCUUCAAUGAUCAAGAACAUUGACACUGUGAUGUGAUCCUAAAAUUCUCUCUCUUGACAAGAAUAAUAAAGUCAUUGUAGAAUAAAAGAACCAAAUUAAUUUUGGGUUCAAAGUUUUAUUUUCGUAGGUCAUUAUAUGUCUGUCUUGUUUUGGCUAUAUCUGGAGCUCUGGAUAUCCGUUUGAGGUGAUCUUUAACUCGUUGGAAAGCUUACGAAAUUCUCUACAUUUCAUCUGUUUGAUUCAAGAGCAAAUUCGGAAUAUUUAAUGGUGCAGAAUGAGCUGUAGGUAGAAGACGUGGUUAAAGUAUGUUAGCUGAAGAAUUAAAGGUGGUGUUUGUGGAAUUGUAACGUCUAGCCAUAAUAAGCCUUCACAAAUCAAUGUGCAAAUGAAUAUGUAACCUUCUCAUGCAUUGAUCAACCACCAACUUUAAAGAUCCAAUUAAAUUGUAACCUCUUUUGUAAUAACUAGCCACCUAGGAAUUAUAACACUAAUUAUGCUAUGAUUGUAAGUUUUUCAGCUUCCAAGCCUAUUUCCUAUAAAAAGGGGGCGAAAAUAAUGAAGGGGACAAGUUGAAUUUAAAAAAAAUAAAAAAUAAAUAGAGAAUUUUAGGAUCACAUCACACUGCUAAGGAAAAUGAAUGGGGAUCUUUACACAAAAUUAUGAAACGCUGCAAACCUGGUUAUAGCUGACUACUUAUACCAACAAUAAAAACAGGAUCAGAUUGAUUAAUACCAGCAAUCACAGCACAGAACUGCUGAAUAAAAUUAGGAAUACUUCUGCAAAGGUAUAAAUUAUAAAGUUUAAAUAUGCCUUUAGUCCUUGCACUUUUAUCAGAUUUUGGCAUUGGUCCCUACACUUUUUUUUGUUUGGAAUUGGUCCCUGCACUUUGUAAAAAUAUUGGUAUUGGUCCCUGCACUUUGUAAAAAUAUUGAUAUUGGUGCCACGUGGCGUGAAAUGAUUGGGCCACGUGGCACUCCGUUGAUUUUGUGUUUUUUUUUUUAACAGAAAGUUAACAGGGGGUCAAUACCAAUAUUUUUACUAAGUGCAGGGACCAAUGCCAAAAUCUGAUGAAAGUGUAGGGACCAAUGACACAUUUAAACCAAAUUAUAAUUAGCACAACGUAUCAUUGCACUUAGGCAUUUAAAUGAUGAAUUUAAUACCAGUCUACUGCAUCACCGAAUCUUUCUGAAUGAAUGCGAUGAUGUUGUGCUUAUUGUAUUUGAGAAACAGGAGAAAGAGAUUACAAUAUUUCCGACUUGUAUUAUUCUUUUGACCCUCUUAGCAAGUGCCUCAAAAAAAGACCUGCCCAAUAUGUUGUUUCAGCAUAAAGUUAUUGCAAUACACCGAGCAUUAUUCACUUGAAGGAUUAAAAUUUUCUAUUAAAUAAAAAAUAUUGAAUCUAUAAUUAUAAAGUCGGUUAAAACUUCAUACCGAUUGAACAAGAAGGUUGUUCCUCUUUGCAUGAAUAGGAAGGUUGUUCCUGGUUAUCUUCAUUUUCAUUGUUAGAGCUUCUGACUUCACCUCCAAUUGCUAUAGACACAUCAGAGUCUUGAGCAAUGGAUUUUAAUUUACCAAUUUCCUUACUAAUGAUACUGCUACCACCACCUUCCAACUCACGUUCUAAGGCAUAUACAGGUAUGACCCCACACCCUUUUAUCCCCUCUGUUGACCACCACAAUUCUUCAUUGGGACCUUGAAGUAUGAAUUUAAAUGAUAAGUUACAAUCAUAACUUCCACUUUCUUGUAUGUUGUAACCAUGCCAACGCAUCAAUACAUGAUCUGAAAUUAAUGUCCCGAGAUAAUUGAAUCUAAUGCGACGUCUGUCGACUUCUUUUCCGCAUUCAAAGAUAAUACAAUGAAGGACAUGGUGGUUAACAGUGAAGCCCUCAGAAAAAAGGAUGCAAAAUAUGAAACCACACAAGUCAGAUUUAGCAAUAGGAAGAAUAGUUAUUGAAGCCUUGAUUGUCUGAAAAUCAAAAUUUAAUGGAAUUUGUGCUCCUGGCAUGAAAGAGAAAGGACGGAUAACACCUUCAUGUUCAAUAGAAGGGUCUUCACAGAACUUUUGUGCCUUGUUCUUAAUCAAUGAAAAUUGUGUGAAGUAUGUGUCCAGAUAUGUGCAAUUAACGGCUGUUAAAUAAAACAGGGAUGGCGGAAUCUCUGUUAGAGACACAAGUUUCCUGCAAUUGUCUAAUUCAAGCCAUUCUAGCAUUGAAUGGUUUUGUAUGUUCUUAGGGAGACAUUCUAAGUUGCAACACUCAUUCAAUUUUAGCCGUUUUAAAGAUUGUAUGCCAUCAAGGAUGGACGACAGACUUAUUGCAUUGAUUUCUGUGCACCCAGAAAGGUCUAGCUCUGUAACAGACCCCAGUCCAUGAUCAUCUGUUAACUUAUUCCCAACAAUAGUAAGCUUGUUACAUCCAGCUAGGUCAAGAACAGUAAGUUUGGUAUUAUGCCAAAUCGAUGAAGUCAAUUCAUGUAUAGAAGUGUCACGUAAGGAUAAUUUU